CUGGAUCCUAAGAGGGAAGGGAAACCAGGGCUAGUAAGUAAACAUGUCUGGAUCCGAUUCACGUUGUAAGAUCGCCCCCUAGCGGCCACGUGGAGAACGAGCCAGGAGGUGGGGCCUGUCCACCCUCAAGUUUACCCUCCGACCCUCACAGCCAGGCAGAUCUGUCAGACGACCCGCCUCCUGUCUUCCCGUGUCAGUGUCCCUUCUGCCUCCGGGAGCGCCUCCUGCGUGGACGGCGUCCUCCGCUCUUUCGUGGGUGUGUUCACAUGGUUCCCAUGAGCCCUACAGGGCAGGAGCUGCUUCUAUUCCCGCCUCCCAGAGACAGAGGCGUUGCGAGAGACACGCUGAAGAAUACCGCGGACGUCUGGCUGUCUGCCCUGAGCGCGGCCCUUUAGUGGGUCAGCCCUUGGACACCACGCCGCAAGAGAGCCAGCGCGAAGCCUUCAGCCAAGAGAAUGCAACCCACGGUCACACCACGGCCAGGAGAGGGUGCGCCACACGUCCGUGUCCGCGCCAGCCUCAGGCGGGCAAGUUGCGGCUUUGUGUGUUUCCCUGCGGACCACCUGGUCACUGUGGCCUCUGGCGCCCACACCCUCCACUCCUCUCCAGUGACCAGAUGACCUGUCCUGGCACAUCCCACCUUCUCCCUCCCUCAGGACCCGCUUGGCAGCUCUCUGCACUCGCUGCCUCAGUUUCCC
rnacentral:lncRNA from 1 species